AUCUCUCUCUCUCCCCCUCUUCCCAGCUCUCUCUGAAAAAAAUUAUAUAUAUAUAUGUAUAUAUAUAUAUAUGUAGAGAGACAGACAGACAGACAUUCAUGUGCUCUUAAGAUGAAAAAAUUGUGGUAUCAAACCUCCAAGAUGGCCCUCAAAGAUCCUUGCCUCCUAGAAUUCACACCAGUGUGUAGUCUCCAUCCACACUGACUCAGUCUGGUCUAUGCGACCAACAGAGUAUGGCGGCAUGUGACUUCUGUGACAGCCUGUAAGAGGCUUGCCCAUAAAAGACAUUGUAGCUUCUGGAUCGCUUAUUCUAGGGGAAACCAGCCACCAUGUCACAAAGACAAUCAGCCAGGGGCACCUGGGUGACUCAGUUGGUUGAGUGUCUGACUCUUGAUUUUGGCUCAGGACAUGAUCCCAGGGUCAUGAGAUCGAGCCCUGCGUCAGGCUCCACGUUGAGAAUACAGCUUGCUUAAGACACUGUCUCUCUCUCUCUCCCUCUGCCCCCUCCCCUGCUUGGGCUCUCUCUUUCUUUCUCUCUCUCAAACAAACAAACUAAAUAACAAACAAUCAGCCAUAUGGAGAGGCCUACAUGGAAUGGAACGGGGCCUAUUGUCAAAAGCCAGCGCCAAUUUGCCAGCCAUGUGAAUGGAGCACCUGGAAGCAGAGAUUCUGGCCCCAUUUAAGCCUUCAAAUGACAUCUUGCUUACACGCAGCUAAACUGCUCCUGAAACCCUGACUCACAGACACUGUGAGAGAUGAUCCCAGCCCUGUUUCCAUGAGGGCUUGUGACCUCUGCGGUAUCAUGAAGCAAAUGUCUGUCUCCGAAUAUGCAUUCUCCAAGGUUUCACCGUAUUGGCUCAUCCACAAUUCAGAGGGCGGAGGUAGCAUGGCCUCGCCCACAGGUACGUAGGUCUUGUUUGGUGGAAAUACCAACUCCACUCCUCUUCCACACUUUGCCCCCACGAACUCCAGUCACUUCAUUUCCCCAAAACUGUUGUUUGUCAACUUAGCAAAUCGGUGCUCUGCGUUGGUUCCUCCUCUCUGCUCUGCGGUGUGUAGUGUGUCUUCCAAGGGAAAGCCACUGCGAAGAUAGAAUCUCACUUAUUUCCCUUCUCUCAGGGAUCAAAGUCUUGCACUACUUGCUGUCCAACAUCUGAAAAGACUUGUUUCCUACACAUUAUCUAGCUUCUUGUUUAGAAUGCGAUGGCAGGUGUAGUGCAAUUACACUAUCAUAGUUCAAAGCAGACAAUCCUCCCUGCUUUUUGAGCAUUUCCCUAUGUUUUUUGGCACAAGAAGAUAUCCUAUACUCAUUGUGUACGUUCCCUGCCCCAGUCCUGAGAUCAGAUACUUCUCCAGGAAGCUUUGGUUUCUUUUUUUUAGAGAAUGAUAGAAUGAUAUUUAGAAACCAAGGUCUGGGCAUUAGGUUUAUGCUCAUUGCUACAGGGCAUCAUUGCUUCCAGGCCCAUUCACCAAAUAGAAAAUACAAAACACAUUUUUUUUUUCCAGAAUAAAUAGUAAGACUUUAAUGAAGAAGUUUAAGCUUUUUUAUUUUAGAACUUUUUGAGUUACAGAAAAACUGCAGAUAGUUCAAAGUUCCCAAAUGCCCUGCACCUACUGUUAACACUUUACUUUAGUAUGAUGCUUUUGUUAGUUAUCGAGCCAACAUUGAUAUAUUAUUAUUAACUAAUGUCCAUACUUUACUCAUACAUAGUUUUCUUAGUUUAAAAAAACACUUGAGGGAGAGAGAGACAGAGACAGAGAGACAUUUGUGCGCACAUGCCUGUGGAGGAGGGGCUGAGAGCGAGGGAGAGAGAGAAUCCCAAGUAGGCUCCCGGAUGUCAGCGCAGAGCCUCACUCGAGGCUUCAUCUCAUGAACCGUGAGAUCACAACCUGAGCCAAAAUCUAGAGUCAGAUGCUCAAUGCACUCAAUCGCCCACGUGCCCCAUACACCCACAUUUUUCAUCAUGAGUUUAUACCAGUUGAACAUCACAGUUUCUUUCUCACCUUCCAUCAUCUUCUAGAUCUCUCUUGUCCCACAGUAAAACACUGGCUCCCAUCAAUACAUUUAUUCAUUCAUUUAAUUCUAUGGUACAUAUAAAAUAGUUUCCAAAUCACUACACCUAUGUUAUGACAAAAACAGAUCUUCUAAAUUGAGUUCAGAAGUUGCUUGCAGUUUUUUGUCUUUAUAUAUUAUCAGAUAUAUAUAUAUAUAUAUACAAGGUUGUAAACAUUCUCUGCCUGUCAUUUGUCUUUAACCUUUGCUUACAGUGUAUUUUGCCACACAAAAGUGCUUUAGUUUUACGUUCUCAAAGGUAGCAGUCUUAAGUUUGGAUUUUUGUAUCAUUGCUACAAAGUCUUUUCACAUAUCCAGGCUGCAAUGGAAUUCAACUCUGUACGUUUCUGGUACUUGUAUGAAUUUAGACCUCUGAGCAAUUUGUUCGAGUUUAUUCUCUUGCAUGAUUUGAAGUAUGAACCCAAUUUUAUUUUUUUCUAAAUGACUAUCCAGUUAUUCCCCAAGGUUAUUUAUUAAAAAGUCCAUUUUUGGGGUGUGUGGGUGGCUCAGUCGGUUGAGCGUCUGACUUCAGCUCAGGUCAUGAUCUCACCAUUUGUGAGUUCAAGCCCUGUGUUGGGCUCUGUGCUGAUAGCGCGGAGCCUGGAGCCUGCUUCGGAUUCUGUUUUCCUCUCUCUCUCUCUCCCUCUCAAAAAUAAAAAUAAAUAUUAAAAAAAUAAAUUAUGGAAACUGUUUAGAAUGUUUUACUAUCUGGAAGGUUUAGCACACCUCAGCUUUUCUUUUUCAGAGCAUUCCUAUUCCUAGGCAUUCUUUUUUUUUUUUUUUUUUUUUUUGGACAUUUUUAUCAACUUAUCUAUUUCCAAGGAGGAAAACAGUAUUGGCAUUUUUAUCGGGUUUAAGUUAAAUUUCUAAGUUAACUUGGAGGGGAAGACAUCCUUGAGAUGUGCAACAAUGUAGACACGGGCAAAUGUCAGAUGAAACGAUUCAAAAGAAGAUGAGAUUACAUGGUGUGAGGGAAACAAGACCAGUUGGAGAGACAGGAGCUCUGGACUCCAGGCCGGCUCAAGGACAACUGUACCACGUGGGCAGAGUAAGGCUUCCUCACUCAGGGAUCAGGCCUCACACCGCCUGACCAGCAUCCAGGACAUGGGAAGCUCGACCACACUGGACCAUGCUGUUUGGGGAUGCGUAAGGUCUAGGAACUUUUCAGACUUGCACACAGAGAUCCAACUGCCUGUGGUUCUGGGGGACUCGGCCUAGAGCUGUCCCCCACAAGCGGAAACUCCUUGUCAUCUUGUUUAAAACAUUUUUGCUGGGCAUCCAUCUGGCUCAGUGGGAAGAGCAUGCAACGCUUGAUGUUGGGGUCUUGUGCUCAAGCCUCCUGAGUUGGCUGUAGAGAUUACAAAUAAUAAAAAAACAGGGGCACCUGG